ACGCUGGCGGCAGGCUUACACAUGCAAGUCGAACGGUAGCAGGAGAAAGCUUGCUUUCUUGCUGACGAGUGGCGGACGGGUGAGUAAUGCUUGGGAAUCUGGCUUAUGGAGGGGGAUAACGACGGGAAACUGUCGCUAAUACCGCGUAUUAUCGGAAGAUGAAAGUGCGGGACUGAGAGGCCGCAUGCCAUAGGAUGAGCCCAAGUGGGAUUAGGUAGUUGGUGGGGUAAAGGCCUACCAAGCCUGCGAUCUCUAGCUGGUCUGAGAGGAUGGCCAGCCACACUGGAACUGAGACACGGUCCAGACUCCUACGGGAGGCAGCAGUGGGGAAUAUUGCGCAAUGGGGGGAACCCUGACGCAGCCAUGCCGCGUGAAUGAAGAAGGCCUUAGGGUUGUAAAGUUCUUUCGGUAUUGAGGAAGGUUGAUGUGUUAAUAGCACAUCAAAUUGACGUUAGAUACAGAAGAAGCACCGGCUAACUCCGUGCCAGCAGCCGCGGUAAUACGGAGGGUGCGAGCGUUAAUCGGAAUAACUGGGCGUAAAGGGCACGCAGGCGGUUAUUUAAGUGAGGUGUGAAAGCCCCGGGCUUAACCUGGGAAUUGCAUUUCAGACUGGGUAACUAGAGUACUUUAGGGAGGGGUAGUAUUCCACGUGUAGCGGUGAAAUGCGUAGAGAUGUGGAGGAAUACCGAAGGCGAAGGCAGCCCCUUGGGAAUGUACUGACGCUCAUGUGCGAAAGCGUGGGGAGCAAACAGGAUUAGAUACCCUGGUAGUCCACGCUGUAAACGCUGUCGAUUUGGGGGUUGGGGUUUAACUCUGGGCGCCCGUAGCUAACGUGAUAAAUCGACCGCCUGGGGAGUACGGCCGCAAGGUUAAAACUCAAAUGAAUUGGACGGGGGCCCGCACAA
rnacentral:rRNA from 1 species